GCCUUUAGAUCGCCUCUUCCGUCUCCUCCCUCCUCCAACCAUCUCGAGCAUCGAUCGCUUCUUCUACCUCCUCCGGUCGCUGACCUCCUUAAAUCGACUACCCUCACGACUUCCGACGCUAAGCUCCGACAACAUCGACCCUUCUCCGACAGCAUUCACCACCUUCGACAGCCUCCGCUAGCACCACCAGCGACGACGGCCUCAUGUUGUAGGUAAGCUUUUUUCCCCUGAAAAUAGAUUCUCUUUAAAUAGAUCGAAUGUUCUUCUUCUUUUCCGUUGAAAACCGAUUCGUAUAAUCGAAAUCGAUUGACAGCCUCAUCAGUCCUCGAUUUUUUAUUUUAUUUGUAUUUCUGUUAUUGAUUUUUCUAAGAUCGAUUUUCUGAAUUGAAAUUGAUUUCUCCAUAACCAUGGGUUCACAAACUAUUACAGCCUGAUCACCACCAACCACUUUACUUGGGACAUUAUGAUACAUUGCUCCAUGUGAAGAUUUAUUAUAUAAAUUUAUUUUUGAUUGAAAUCUUGUUUAUAUUCAUUUAAUUUGGUUAUUGAUUUAUGUUGCAAAAUAUACGUUUACAAGCUUGAAAAGAAUGGAGUUUGAUGUGUAUAAUUAUGGGGGUGUGUUGCUAGAGCUCAUAACCAGAGGAGGCUGAAAAGAUUGUAGAUGGUCAAGUUUUUUGUUGAUUUCACAUUGAAACCUCGUGGAUUUGUAAAAAAGGAGAGGGUGAUGUGGACAAAGAACUCACAUAAUGAUUAAAUUUAACAUAUUUAUUAAUUUUGAUGUUCUUUUGGUUAAUAUUGAUUUUGUUUUAAUGAAUUUUGAUGUUGUUUAUGUGAUUUUUGGUGGAAUUGAUGGUUAUAGUUGUGAUUGGAAAAAAACAAUAGAGAAGGGUAAAAUGGUCAUUUUUGUUA
rnacentral:lncRNA from 1 species